rnacentral:rRNA from 1 species
UACGUAGGUGGCAAGCGUUGUCCGGAUUUACUGGGCAUAAAGAGCGCGCAGGCGGUCAUUCAAGUCGAGUGUGAAAGCCCCCGGCUCAACUGGGGAGGGUCACUCGAUACUGUUUGACUCGAAGGCGGGAGAGGGAAGUGGAAUUCCCGGUGUAGUGGUGAAAUGCGUAGAUAUCGGGAGGAACAUCCGUGGCGAAGGCGACUACCUGGACCAGCACUGACACUGAGGCACGAAAGCGUGGGGAGCAAACAGG